UUCACCUAAUGGUUCAAACUGUUCUUUUUGCGCGUUGUUGUUUUUCCAUAGCUUUUAUUGAAUAAAUGAUAAAUCUUCAUGACAAGCUGUUUUAAAAGCUACUUUGGUCAGUUUUUUUAUAAUGUGUAGCUUCAACAAUACAUCUUUAUGUGCACAGAUGAUUAUUAAUUAGAUUAACAAAAUGAAUGCAAACUUAAACAGUCAAUAAAGAAAAAUAUAAUAAAAACAUGACCGACUACAGGAACAUCUAUUUCCUCUAAAGCCAUGAAGGAAAGACUUUUGCACAGUAUAUUUCCUCAUAGAUUGGUUUUUCUUAUAUGUUUCUAGGUUUCUUUAUUUUAGAUGUGUAGGAAAACACUCCGUGUCGUGUCUUGUAAGCACUGGCAGCACCUGACGUCAGGUUGGAUAAUGACAGGCACCACGUGACUGCUGCGCUCUGUCUGGACUCAGCAGGGUCUGUCAGAGCUUCCCCGCUGCAAGGACGCAAGACGCAAACUGGCUUCUGAUGUUUCCGACCCAGCUCCGCACGUCCGAAAAAGAAAGCUUCAGAGACUCCAAAUAAGAGUGAACUUCCAACCUUUUGCUGAAAAAAUAAAAAAAAUGCUUUGGUUAAAUUUCAAA